CCAUAAAAUUAAAAAAAUACAAGUCGAGGGGGCAGCUGCCGCCGCAGGAGCUGCUCGACGAUCUCUGCAGCCGGUUCGUGCUGAACGUGCCCAAGGAGGAUUUGGAGUCGUUCGAGCGGAUCCUGUUCCUGCUGGAGCAGGCGCACUGGUUCUACGAGGACAACUCGGUCGAGCACAACCCCUCCCUAAAGUCCCUCUAGCUGGAGCUUCCCCCGUGUAAAGAGGAGCAAAGAUAAGAAGAUCAUACAUGUGCAGUUAGAGAAGUUCUGGAGGAAACUGGGUGUGAUGUUUCUAAGCUUUUGAAAAUGGAUGACCACAUUGAAGUUUCAAUUGGACAACAGAGAGUUCGUCUCUAUAUUAUUACGGGCGUUAAGGUAGAUACAGUGUUUGCACCUCAAACUAAGAAAGAGAUCAGUGU